CCUACGGGUGGCAGCAGUGAGGAAUAGUGGGCAAUGGGCGCGAGCCUGAACCAGCCAAGUAGCGUGAAGGAUGACUGCCCUACGGGUUGUAAACUUCUUUUAUAAAGGAAUAAAGUGAGGCACGUCUGCCUUUUUGUAUGUACCUUAUGAAUAAGGAUCGGCUAACUCCGUGCCAUCAGCCGCGGUAAUACGGAGGAUCCGAGCGUUAUCCGGAUUUAUUGGGUUUAAAGGGAGCGUAGAUGGGUUGUUAAGUCAGUUGUGAAAGUUUGCGGCUCAACCGUAAAAUUGCAGUUGAUACUGGCAGCCUUGAGUACAGUUGAGGUAGGCGGAAUUCGUGGUGUAGCGGUGAAAUGCUUAGAUAUCACGAAGAACUCCGAUUGCGAAGGCAGCCUACUAAACUGCAACUGACAUUGAUGCUCGAAAGUGUGGGUAUCAAACAGGAUUAGAUACCCUUGUAGUC
rnacentral:rRNA from 1 species